rnacentral:tRNA from 1 species
GCCUGGGUGGCUUGGUCGGUUAAGCGUCCGACUUCGGCUCAGGUCAUGAUCUCGCGGUCCGUGAGUUCGAGCCCCGCUUCGGGCU